GCCGUAAAUUUUGCCACUAUUUGAAAAAAAAAUAUGUCCCACAUUUUGACUGCAUAUAUAAAAGACUAAUGCUAGUAAUUUGUUACUAAGGUACUCAUAAUAUAUUUUGUAGCUCUUAUCUCUACAUAAUUUAAUUUCAAAAGUUCAAACACUUCAAUACUUUAACUUCUAGAGUGUGUUCAACUUGGCCAGUCCUCCAAAUUUUGCAAAAAUCGCGUUGUCUUUUUUAUCAUCCAAAUACUAGAGAACUACAAAACUCGUAGUAUAUUUAUUGAAUGUCAAGUUUACAAGAACUUAACCUACAGAACGCAAAACUAAGCAGCCAAUUAAUAAUAUGAGAUUAUUUAAAAUAAGUAGAUUUAAUUUUUUUAUCGCAAUUUAAAUGUUUGUCCCCGUAUUUUUGCUUAUAUGUUACAAUUUUGUAUGUUACCACAAUUUCACCUCUAAUUAAGGUAAAACAUUUUGGUAAUAUUUUGUAUCGAUACUGGCAACACUUAAGUGUCCAUGGACAAAAAGAAAAAAAAAACCAUUUUGUUUACUGUGGUGGGUUUGACAAAAAGUGAGUGCAGGUGUGUGUCGUCAUUCGGGAUUUAUUCGAUUUCAAAGAAGGAAGCGAGCAGAACGAUGAAGAACUUGGCAGCACGGUUAGAGAGAAUAAUGAAAAUGAAGGGAAUUAUUUAAGUUUCAACAUAAAAGAUUCGUUAUGGUUAGAUAAUUUGAA
rnacentral:lncRNA from 1 species